ensembl:lncRNA
GGCUCAGCCUCGCUUCUUGCUCGCUCUCUCGCUCUCUCUCUCUCUCUCUCUCUCUCUCUCUCUCUCUCUCUCUCUCCUCUCUCUCUCUCCCCCACAUUCGCUCGUGCGCGCACCACACCCGCCCAUACACAGACACACACACUCGCACACGCACACCGAGUCACUCCCCCUCGCACACCCUCGCCCCCGGGCCUCCUCCCGGCCGCUAGGGCUAGCAAUCCUCCGCCUCUCUCCAUUCGCCGGCGGCUAAGACAGCGCCCAGCUCUCCGGCCUGUGGCCGGGGCAGCUCGCCCUGCCCGGACUCGCCGGGCACCAAGAAGCCCGUCUGCGGUCUUCGUCUCCAGAUCCACCCCCCCCCCCACUGCUCCUGCUCCCCGCUUCCCUCCUCCCCCUGGCCCCGCCUCGCGCCCCCGCCGCCUCCCCCCAGGGAGAGGGACCUAUCCAUCCAGCCGGUGGCCCGCUGGUCUCGGCUUCCCGCGACGCUGGGAUUGGCGGGGGCAGCGAGCGAAGGAGCAAGCGAGGCGGGCAGCCGGGGAGGGAGGGAAGGAAGGAAAGAAGGAGGAAGGCGGGCGCGCUGCCGAGCCCCGGGCGGAGAGGCGGCGGGGGAGGAGGAGGGACGGAGUGCCUGGCGGACGCAAAGAGAGAGCCAGCGAGCGGACUUCACCUCGCCGAGGAGCACCGCGAGCCAUCGUUCCACUCUCCCGGCGCAGAGUCGCUGGGGCUCCCUCCGCCUCGGCCAGACCCUGGCUCCGGGCUCCGGGCUCCGGGCUGCAGCUUCCCCGGGAGCCCUGGGCGCGGGAGGGGCCGGAGGCUUUCUGCGCCCAAGCCCAGUAUAAAAUGCCUCCUGCUGUUAUUGGGGUCGGGACAGAAAUACAAGCAACAGGCUGAGGUGCUAGAACCCGGAAUCCACUGGCUACUUGUGGCAUAAAAUGCACGUACAUAAGGAACCCGCAAAAGGGGGAGAGAGAAGUAAUUUUUCCUUUUUGGUGUGGAAAAGGAAGGAAAAACACUUGGAGAGUGCUCUGGCUGGCCUAGGAGCGGCACUGUAGGAGAAACGAGUUUCUGUGGAUCAGAUGGUCUGAGCUUUUUGGGGUCAGGGGAAUGGUUCACCUAGUCAAGUUCAAACAUAGCUUUCUGGUCUCAGUUAGGACACUUUCCAGAUCAUCAUCCUUUCCUUUCCCUCCUUGCCUUAAAUUCCACCCCUUUGGGGCUGUUUGGAGGGAAGAGGGGGAAGGGAAUAAGCAUUUUUAUGAUGCCUACUACGUGCUGGGCACAAUGCUAAGUUUUACAAAUAUUAUCUUAUGGUGGGGGCAGAUUUAAGGUAAGAAAUCUGUGAAAGCAGAAACUGACUUCUUUGCCUUCUGAGUUCCCUUUGGAUUCAGCUUUCUUUGCUGGACUCUCACCCAGGUGACUGUAGCAUUUUAGGCUUUAACCCAGUUUGGAAGUUAAAGCCUUAAGUAAAUCUAAGCCCGAGGGCUAUGCUCUGCCACCCCAAAGAGAAGCUAGGGAAUUGUGCUGGCAACUUUUUAUAGCAGGGAGAAAUCCAUUCCCCUUCUCCUAUGCUUUUUGUCUUUUGUCAUUUUAGGGGGUAUCUCUCUUCACCAACCCCCACUCCCCCUCCACACUUGCUGCCAAACUCUGCUGUCAAAAACAAAAAUAGCUUCAGGUUUUCCAUUUAGGAAGAGUACACGUCCUAGUAAAACCCUGACAUUCAAGGCGUAUGCAGUGCCAUUGGCUGGAAACGGGGCCGGGAUGCUCUGCCUUUUGUAGGAAUGCAUACUAGGGCUGACUGUGGGUGAGCUGUUGGUGCCUAGCUUGGGGUGACAGACUGUAGAAUGGUCAGAGAAUUCACUGGGGUCUUACCUGGGGGUUAUGCUGAAGGUAUGACUCUGAUGUGGCCCAAACAUGGGUU